rnacentral:rRNA from 1 species
CACGUAGGGGGCGAGCGUUGUCCGGAUUUAUUGGGCGUAAAGAGCUCGUAGGCGGCUCGGUAAGUCAGGUGUGAAAACUCUAGGCUCAACCUAGAGACGCCACCUGAUACUGCUGUGGCUAGAGUCCGGUAGGGGAGCAUGGAAUUCCUGGUGUAGCGGUGAAAUGCGCAGAUAUCAGGAGGAACACCGGUGGCGAAGGCGGGUCUCUGGGCCGAAAUUGACGCUGAGGAGCGAAAGCGUGGGGAGCAAACAGG